UGAUAUUUCCCACACAUUUCUUCUCCCUUCCCUUGCGCGCUCGGUCGAAGAGGACGACCAUCCCCGAUAGAGGAGGACCGUUCUUCGGUCAAGGGUAUAUGAGUAGCUGCGCUCCCCUGCUAGAACCUCCAAACAAGCUCUUAAGGUGCAUUUUUAAAUACAAACAACAACCCCAAAUCACCAGAUAUUACCAGAAAGCUUCU
rnacentral:snRNA from 1 species